rnacentral:lncRNA from 1 species
AUUUUCCCUUUCUUCCUCCUCUCUUCAUAAUCUCUCGAUGUGGGAGUUUUUCAACAUCUCAUCAAAGAUGAAAGCCAGACACAAAUUUCCACAGCGAGGUAUGAAAAAACCCAAACCAAAGCUCGUUUUAGAAUGCGCCCUUUUUUCAUUUUCAAGUUUCAACCCUACCAUUUUCGUGUAACAAUCUAAAAUGUCAUCACACGCGUUGAUAAUUCAUAUAUGUUCUGUGUUUUGUAAUUUUUUUUUCAGGAGGUCUGCUUGAAAUCAGAGGCCGAAAUGGAAGCUCUGAAAGCGAUCAGAGCUGGAGCUUUGUGAUGUUGUUUGGUGAUGGUUGAUGUGAACUGGGCGCUAUCCUAGCUGAGCUUUUUCAUUCUUUUUUUUUUUUUGUUUUUUUUUCAUUUCGUUUCCUUUUUCGUCAAAUUCUUUUCUUUCUUUCUUGACCUUGUAAGACCUUUUCUUGACCUUGUAAGAUGUCACGCCGGGUCUGUUGUCUUCGUUUGUUGUUUUGGUCCAAGCUCUGUGUGAGAAUUAUCUCAUGUAGAGCUUGGCCAGCGUUUCUCCUUGUUGCCGUCCAACUCAUCUUCUCCUUCCUUGUCUAUCCCUCCUGAGCUGUUCCACAAUUAUUUGAUGAAGUUAAUUAUAUGAAGCCCACCAUAGCAAAUUUCCAUCAAACUCAAGGACCUGUUUGCAACAAACACAAUCUCAACUCAAGCUUGGUUCAUGCAAUUAAAUUCCACUUGGGUCAGGGAAAUGCUGAUUGUGUGUGUGUGUGGUCCUCCAUGUCAUUAUAGAAAAAGAAUAAAAAUGCAAAUUACCCUAAUAUAUAUUUAUUAUUUUCACUUCCUGCUACUAGCCUCCUCUGCUGUUACUAUUAUUCUGUUAAAAGAACCAUCAAUUUCAAUAUUGUAUUAUUGGAUGUGCAGAAAUAUGCUGUUGCAGAGAGAGAGAGAGAGAGAGAGAGAGAGAGGCAUCAGUUUCGUUGUUUUAUAUGUUGUUGGCUGAGAAAGUAGGAGAAUAUAUUUUCUCUCAGAUCUCUGUAAGAAGAGUUGAACUCGUGACUGCUCUGUUCGAUUGUACAAAAUAUAUCUAUCCACUGUAUUAUUAUUAUUAUUAUUAUUGUUGUUGUU